AUCCUUUUAGUAUAAAAGUAUAUUUAACUUCCAAUUAAAAGGUUCAAAAUUUGAAAAGGAUA
rnacentral:tRNA from 1 species